GUUGUGCAACAUCCCCACCAUCCUUCUCCAGAACCAAUUCACCUUCCCCAGCUGAACUCUACACAUUAAACAAUAACUCCCCAUUCCCUCUUCACCAGCCCCAGCACUCACUGUUCUACUGUCUGUCGCUGUGCAUUUGACAACUCUAGGGACCUCAUCAUAUAAUCAUGAAUGGAGUCUCUACGAGGGCAGGGAUGUUGGUUGGCUGUAUCCUCGGGCUGGAAGAGCACUGGCACGCAGCAGGCACUGAAUAGAAUUUCUAAAUAUACAAACGGAUGAACCAAUGGAUGGAUGGAUGAAUGAAGACCCUGUAUAGGUCAAUGCCUCAAAUGUCUGUGCCUGGCCUGGAGUUAUGUCCCUCACCCCCACUGUAGACUAACUCCUGGUCCCACCCUACGGCUUUGGAACUGAAGCCACAGGCCUACCAUCCCUGAGAGGUAGCGGUGCUCAGCGUGGCAGGACGCCCCACUUGAUGGUAGGCUUCUCCCAGAUGGCUAACUGCUUCGAGUCUUUCCCCCAGAUGUAACAUGUCUAUGGGAGGAUUAUGACAUGGGUAGAUGAGAGUCCCCAGCCAUGGAGGUGACAAUGUGCCCUGGAGCCUCACAAGGCAGCAGCCACCAGGAAGAGGCAUGGAGGCCAGGAAGGUCCUGGAACACCAGAAUUUGGCCAACAGAGCCUGAAGCCAGCACAUCGUGGAGGGGCAGCAGCCUGGGGGCAUUCGGGAGACCUGGAGAUGUGGCAGCUGGCCAGGAGCUGGGGUACAACCUUGACAAUCACUAACCUCUCACUUCCUCGUCCUGCCAGGCUAUUUAUAGCCUCCCUCUCUCUGAAAACUCCUUCACCCAUUUUUCUGAGCUUAACAAGCUUGGUGAAUUGAAAUCAGGUGGACCACCUCCCCAACCUCAGCAAGCCUGCUGGGGUGACUGCACUCAGGCCAGGCCUGCUGGCAGCUCCUGCUCCAUGACAGGGACCCUUGAGGGCCUGCUGAGAGUCACAGGGUUGGGGUGACCCCGGGAAGGUGGCAUCUAAAGAGAGGGCAGCAGCUGGGCACCCAGGCAGACCUCA
ensembl:lncRNA PITPNM2-AS1 PITPNM2 antisense RNA 1